GGUCUCUAACCCAAAUAGGCAUGUAUUUGAAGCCGAGGGCGCGAGUCUUAACGUCUCCCGAAACCUUUUAUUGCUUCCGGGAGAUGUUGAAGGAUCUGGAGAUCCUGCUGGUGAUGUUGAGGAAGGGUCGUUGCAGCCGUCCUGGAAGCUUAGAGUCUCCUGCAUGCAGCCAUGGUGAUCGCAUCAACAUUCACACUCUCACUUGGGCAGGGCACUCACAGCUCCUAACAGGUGGCAUCUAUGUGUCAGUUAAUACUCGCACCAACCCCGAGGCACAGAAACUUAUCGACGUUGUUUAAAGGUGAAAACAGGUCCGAGGAGUGAAGAAAUGUGCUCAGGGUCAGUGUAGGACUUAUUUGUAGUGGGCAUUUGCAUUGGAGCUUAAAUGAUGUGAUCUUUGUUUUUCUGUGUCAUAGGUGACAGCAAUUUGAGAUCUAUACAGGGGGUUGUGACAACUUUCUGUACUGAUUAUGGCCGGAUUGAUGGGUCCAUCUACUUCAGUACUGAUGCUGUGACUGGUAAUGUGCCUCUGAAAGCUGGUCAAAAGGUUACUGCACUUGUGGAAGAAGAUAAAGCAACUCAUGUGUUGAAAGCCAUCAAAGACCAGAUCUUGAAAAUUGUGUUUUCCUCCCUGUUCUCCCAACCUGUGUUUGUUGUUCCUGUCUCUCUCUGCACCUGCCCCCACCCCCUUUGACCAGGUGGAUGCUAUAUCUGACCAUUUUGAUGAUUCUGGGCCAUCUGACCUUGGAACCAGUGUUUUAAUCAGUCGUGCCACCUUAGUGACAAAGGACGCGGUCUACAUUAAUAAAGAUACUUGCUUCUCACUGUCUAUCGUUCGUGAUGGCUUCGUGCCUUAUAAGGGCGACUGGCUAGAGGUCGAGUAUUGCGUGCAGCCGGGCACCUCAAACAUCAAUGCCCUCUCCGUGAAGCCCAUGAACUGUAGGCAUGUGGAUGAGGUAAUCUGUGUCCAUGUUUCACU